rnacentral:rRNA from 1 species
GAUGAACGCUGGCGGCGUGCCUAAUACAUGCAAGUCGAACGAGGCCCUCUUCCUUCGGGAGGAGGUGUCCUAGUGGCGAACGGGUGAGUAUCACGUUGGUGACCUACCCCGAAGAGGGGGACAACCCCGGGAAACUGGGGCUAAUACCCCAUGUGAUCCUAAGGACUAGAUGCCUAAGGAUGAAAUGGAGCAAUUCGCUUCGGGAGGGGCCUGCGGCCUAUCAGCUAGUUGGUGAGGUAACGGCUCACCAAGGCUACGACGGGUAGGGGACCUGAGAGGGUGACCCCCCACACUGGAACUGAGACACGGACCAGACACCUACGGGUGGCAGCAGUAGGGAAUAUUGCACAAUAGGCGAAAGCCUGAUGCAGCAACGCCGCGUGCGCGAUGAAGGCCUUAGGGUUGUAAAGCGCUUUUCUGGGGGACGAGAAAGGACGGUACCCCAGGAAUAAGUCUCGGCUAACUACGUG